UAACAUUUUUCCCUCGUUCAUUCCAUCGUUGCCGCGUAAAUCGGAAUCGGCGCAUUCGCUUUAACCUAGCAAAUUUCUCCGUCCAAACCGUCCUUUGAUUCAGUCAAAGGCAAAUUUUCGGUUCAUAUCGCAUGGAUCGAACCUUGAUCUGGUUUUUAGGAUGGUUAAUUGGAGAUUCUGUCGAUGUUUCGGUCUCCGUUUUGAUGGAGGCCAGUGGAAUUGCUACAUCUGCAAGGAACCGUUAUUCAAUCUGGUCGUGAAUCUGAUAAGGUAAGUUAUAUUUUUGUUUUUUUUCGAGUUCUGUUAUCUUUAUAUGGAUUUCCGUAUAAUCGGUUAUGAUUAUUGUGUUGGUACAUCUCGGUGGCGCCGCUGAUGAUCGUGGUUAUCUGUGGUCCAUGCUGGUGGUUGAGAUGCGCGAGUUUUUGUUUCGAAACAGAGCAAUUGAAGCGAGAUUGGUUGUAUAAUUUUGGUUGUAUUCAAUCCUUUAGGAGAUUACCUGUUAUAUCGAUUGUGGAUUUGAUUGGUUGAGUUGAAGGUUAUGGUUGAGAGAGAUGUGUGAGGUAUACACCAAAGGUACUUGUUCUGUUUGUUAGUUUGUUCUAUUGCUUGUUAAUGGACCUUUGCCAUGUCAGGUGCGCUUGCAUGGCAGGUCAGAAAAACCUCAAUAAAAUUACGACUCUUUUUUCUGUUGCGGGGGGAGAGAUUCCGGGUUUUUAAUUAUUUUAUUUAUUUUUCCCGGCUCUCCCUCCGCUGUGUGUGUUGCUUCUUCCCCUUCCCCUUUCUUCGUAUUCUUCUUUUCUCUGCCCUAUGAAUUUUUCUGCACUCUAGUACGUUCUACACAUACCAGGAUUACGAUUAGAAAUCGGUUAUCGUUCUGGAACCCGAUUCAACAAAAGAUUGGCAAUCGAUAAGGUACAUGGUUCUGAAACAUACUUUCAUUGAUUUUAGUUACAUGGUUCAUGAAUUUUUUUUUUUUCAUGAAAUUCACUAAAUGUGUGCGGACAUAAAUUACAUCUUCUUGGUCCGUUCUUGGUCCGCCACUGCUUAAUAAUAUAAUUUUACAUUUUACAACUACCAUUAUACCUCGCAUGGCCUAAAUUCAUAGCAUCGUUUUAUAUAUUUAUAAUUAGAAUAGUUCUCAUAGCAUCGUUUUAUGAAUUUAUAAUUAGAAUAGAUGGCCUGCACACAAUUAAACUAUAAGAUGUUUUCAUGGUUUUGCUGCAAUUGCAAUUUGACAUAUACAAAUGAUUUAUAUCUCUUAUGUCAAACACGGCUUUUAGAUUUUCACGAUUAGUAUAACAAUUUUUUCUAUAAUUAAACUUGCUAGUAAUUUCACUGAUCUCCUUUUAAAGCUACACAAGUUUACUGUCGAACUUUAACAACUUAUCGAGUUAGUAGUGGCUUUUGAUCAUCCAAAAUUAUAUGUUACUAUUGUAUGUGCAAUAUACUAUUUAAUUAAAACAAGCAAAGAAACUUCGUAAGCCUAUAUCGUUGACUGUUGAGAGCCCAUGCGCACUUGUACUUUUUCAAAAAUGCAACAUGUAAUCUUACGGUUCAAUCUCUUGCCAAGUUAAUCUGUCAUUUAUAAGUAAUAUAUGUGUUGAUUUAUGAUUCGGAUACUUAUAUUUCGAUCUAUGGUAUACCUACGGAAACCAGUUAUUGUUAUCAUGUAGAAUUAUGCCGGUACAAUAAUUUAAAGUUUGAUUGGUGACUUGUUGCGGCUGUAUUGCAAAGCUUCACUUGUACCAGGGUCUUUUUGGGGUAUGUGGGAGUUUGUAAAUGUGUUUCCCAAAAGCUGCCUUGGUUAGCUUUUGAGGCAGUGGGUACAGAAGGCUGUAAAACCGUUCCUAGUGUAGCUUCAAGGUUCGUUGUAUGUGCAGUUCGCUAUUGUGGAUCUACCUGAGCUUCUGACCUUUUUGGAGCAUUUUGCUACCCGCAAAACACCUUUGUCAAUCAGAUUUCUGAAGAUGUGAGUGACUUUUAACUGCUAGAGAAGGCUUGCGGUUCUGUGAAGCUGGGAAAGUCAUCAGACAACUUAACCCUUUCUGGAUUUCUGAAUCAGCUUAUCUGCAUAAUUGCAUUUUGUUCUUUGGAUCAAUGGUUUUUUUAUUGUUACUCGCUUGAAGGAAAUUUUAAUUUGAUACCGGUGUGAACAUUGUGUUGAUAUUACCAAGAAAUUUCGGUUUCGUCUGCUUCAUCAAAUUAGUCGAUUCUGUUAUAUCAACUAUUGCCCGUGUAUAGUCUUGUUUCUUCACCGUUCAACGAGAUAUAUUCCCGACGUUAGUGGAUGUUUUUAUGGCCUCCGCCAUUGUUGGAUUGAUCUGUAGUUCUUGGAAACACGGUUGACAAUAAAUUCCAGUGAGCUUGCUGAUGACCACACCAUCAGAUUCUCCUCUCUAUUUUUAGUGCUUUCAGAAUGAACUGAUCUCUUUAUGCGACUAAAAUUCCGCUGCCUUUUUUAUUUUUACUCUUGCGUUAUACAGUAACGAAGUGAUGAAUUCGUGAUAGUCGGCUCUGAUUCAUAUUAGAGUUAUUGUGAAUAAUAUCAAUGGUAAUUUUUUCUAUGCCAAAUUUAUGCAACUCGUAACAUAGUUUCUUUACUAUAGAUAUGGAAAGGAUUCAUUUAGAGUACUGAAAAUCCGUUUUUUCUUGGUUGGAGAGGUAAAUUGCAUGUUUUGAAAUGGCUUAAGUUUGAAAAAAAAACAA